UACGUAGGCAGCAAGCGUUGUUCGGAGUUACUGGGCGUAAAGGGUGCGUAGGCGGUUUUUUAAGUUUGGUGUGAAAUCUCCCGGCUCAACUGGGAGGGUGCGCCGAAUACUGAAUGACUAGAGUGCGGGAGAGGAGAGUGGAAUUCCUGGUGUAGCGGUGAAAUGCGUAGAUAUCAGGAGGAACACCGGUGGUGUAGACGGCUCUCUGGACCGUAACUGACGCUGAGGCACGAAAGCGUGGGUAGCAAACAGG
rnacentral:rRNA from 1 species